rnacentral:rRNA from 1 species
UACGGGGGGGGCAAGCGUUGUUCGGAAUUACUGGGCGUAAAGGGCUCGUAGGCGGCCAACUAAGUCAGACGUGAAAUCCCCCGGCUUAACCAGGGAACUGCGUCUGAUACUGGAUGGCUUGAGUUUGGGAGAGGGAUGCGGAAUUCCAGGUGUAGCGGUGAAAUGCGUAGAUAUCAGGAGGAAUACCUAUGGCGAAAGCAGGUAUCUGGGCCACAACUGACGCUGAGCUGCGAAAGCUAGGGGAGCAAACAGG